rnacentral:rRNA from 1 species
GACGAACGCUGGCGGCGUGCUUAACACAUGCAAGUCGAACGGAAAGGCCCUGCUUUUGUGGGGUGCUCGAGUGGCGAACGGGUGAGUAACACGUGAGUAACCUGCCCUUGACUUUGGGAUAACUUCAGGAAACUGGGGCUAAUACCGGAUAGGAGCUCCUGCUGCAUGGUGGGGGUUGGAAAGUUUCGGCGGUUGGGGAUGGACUCGCGGCUUAUCAGCUUGUUGGUGGGGUAGUGGCUUACCAAGGCUUUGACGGGUAGCCGGCCUGAGAGGGUGACCGGCCACAUGGGGACUGAGAUCCGGCCCAGGCUCCUCCGGGAGGCAGAGGUGGGGAAUAUUGCACAAUGGGCGGAAGCCUGAUGCAGCAACGCCGCGUGCGGGAUGAGGGCCUUGGGGUUGUAAACCUCUUUCGCCUGGGACGAAGGGGGAGUGACGGUAAUGGGUAAAGAAGCACCGGCUAACUACGU